rnacentral:rRNA from 1 species
AGAGUUUGAUGGUGGCUCAGAUUGAACGCUGGCGGCAGGCCUAACACAUGCAAGUCGAGCGGAUGACGGGAGCUUGCUCCUUGAUUCAGCGGCGGACGGGUGAGUAAUGCCUAGGAAUCUGCCUGGUAGUGGGGGACAACGUUUCGAAAGGAACGCUAAUACCGCAUACGUCCUACGGGAGAAAGCAGGGGACCUUCGGGCCUUGCGCUAUCAGAUGAGCCUAGGUCGGAUUAGCUAGUUGGUGGGGUAAUGGCUCACCAAGGCGACGAUCCGUAACUGGUCUGAGAGGAUGAUCAGUCACACUGGAACUGAGACACGGUCCAGACUCCUACGGGAGGCAGCAGUGGGGAAUAUUGGACAAUGGGCGAAAGCCUGAUCCAGCCAUGCCGCGUGUGUGAAGAAGGUCUUCGGAUUGUAAAGCACUUUAAGUUGGGAGGAAGGGCAGUAAGUUAAUACCUUGCUGU